rnacentral:rRNA from 1 species
GAUCCUGGCUCAGGACGAACGCUAGCGGCAGGCUUAACACAUGCAAGUCGGGGGGCAGCACAGGGAGCAAUCCUGGGUGGCGACCGGCGGAAGGGUGCGUAACGCGUGAGCAACUUGCCCGUAUCUGGGAGAUAACCGAUGGAAACGUCGACUAAUAUCCCAUAACAUAGUUUGUGGCAUCACAGACUGUUAAAAGAGAUUCGGAUACGGAUAGGCUCGCGUGACAUUAGCUAGUUGG